rnacentral:rRNA from 1 species
GAUGAACGCUGGCGGCGUGCUUAACACAUGCAAGUCGAACGGAAAGGCCUCUGCUUGCAGGGGUACUCGAGUGGCGAACGGGUGAGUAACACGUGGGUGAUCUGCCCUGCACUUCGGGAUAAGCCUGGGAAACUGGGUCUAAUACCGGAUAGGACAAUGGUUUGGAUGCUGUUGUGGAAAGUUUUUCGGUGUGGGAUGAGCUCGCGGCCUAUCAGCUUGUUGGUGGGGUAAUGGCCUACCAAGGCGUCGACGGGUAGCCGGCCUGAGAGGGUGUACGGCCAAGUUGGGAAGUGAGAGGGGGCCAGGACUCCGGCGGGGGGGAGAAGGGGGGAAAGUGGGACACGGGGGGAAGGCGUGAGGCAGCGAGGCCGCGGGGGGGUGGAGGCCUUUCGGGUGGUAAGCACCUUCCGCUGGGGAGAAAGCGUUUUUGUGAGGGUACCUGAAGAAGAAGCACGGGCUAACUACGUG